CUUUUCAGCCUUGGGUCAUCUUGGCUAAUGAGGUUGAUCCAUGCAGACCACUGAACUGGGCAGUUGAUAACAUGCUGUGACGAAGAUUGACGGGCGGAAACCCCGUUGUGACUCCAUUGUAAACAAAGAAAUUCCUAUACGUGUAUAAGUGAGGCUGCAGCCCAAUGUGGGGCCAGUGACUUUGCAAACCUACUCAGGCUGUUGUCGUUGUUGUUUUUCUGCACGAUAAAGUCUUUUGUCAAUUCUUGCUCCGGACCCCUCGAUUUCUUUUGCACUCUCUCUCUUGAAUUAGUCUAAGUGUUUUAAAUCUCAGUUAAUCUUCAAUAUAUUGGCGUCACGAACAGGAUUGGAAAGAGACAGCCCAACUGCCGGGCUGCAAGGCGGGGCGCGGACGAAUCACACAACCAAGCGCACAAAAUUAUUCUCGGUAAGUUGGCUUACCACUAAUUUAAUGGUUGGUUGAUCUGUUUUUGCCCCGUCUGAACGCUUGGUAAACGGGUAAAGUGUCUCUUCAGUCAAACGAACCUAAAGAGAGAGAGAGAGAGAGAGAGAGACGGGAGCUCCGGAAGAGAUUGACGUGUGCGCGCACAUAAGCCCUAGGCGCUGUGGUUCUAAAUGACCAAGACGCUGUGUGGCUCCCUAUUUUUGAUACGAGUUGUUGUCAUUUUAAGUUUUGAGGUUUUGGUCAAGUAGACCUAUUAUAAAGUCCUGUGGCUGUAUUCUAGAGGAUCGAAUUAGUGGGAAAGUUCCAAUAGGACAGUAACAGGUCCGCAGGUCGAUUGAAGUGCCUGUUGGAUGUUUGAGAGAAUCACAGAGAGUUGAGUUGGAAUUCAUUGCUGUUGAUGAAUUCAUUUUUUAUUUUAGAGGUCUGCUUGGGAUUUUGACUGGUGAAUUUCUAGUUCCGAUGUUGGCAUUUUUGAGAAAGCAGAUUCUCGCACUUUUGAAUAGAUAAAGGUCUGCUUGGGAUGUUGACUGGUGAAUUUCUAGUUCCGAUGUUGGCAUUUUUGAGAAAGCAGAUUCUCGCACUUUUGAAUAGAUAAAGGUCUGCUUGGGAUGUUGACUGGUGAAUUUCUAGUUCCGAUGUUGGCAUUUUUGAGAAAGCAGAUUCUCGCACUUUUGAAUAGAUACGUUUCUUGUCUGUUGGAAUUCAUUGCCGUUGAUGAAUUCAUUUUUAUUUUAGAGGUUUGCUUGGGAUGUCGACUGGUGAAUUUCUAGUUCCGAUGUUGGCAUUUUUGAGAAAGCAGAUUCUCGCACUUUUGAAUAGAUACGUUUCUUGUCUGUUGGAAUUCAUUGCCGUUGAUGAAUUCAUUUUUAUUUUAGAGGUUUGCUUGGGAUGUCGACUGGUGAAUUUCUAGUUCCGAUGUUGGAAUUUUUGAGAAAGCAGAUUCUCGCACUUUUGAAUAGAUAAGGUUCUUGGUUGGAGUACCGUUUGAGUUGGUAUUUUGAGGAGUCUCUUGUUUGUUCGUGAUCUGGUCGAGUGUGUAUGUGAUUAGCCAUUAUUUUGAAGGAAUAGACUAGUUGUGAGAAGCAUCGUUUGUAUGAGUUCAUUUAAACUGCAGAUAUUGGAUCUGGAGGUGGGGCCAGUCUUUAAUUCUGAUCUUGGUGCUUUGUGGCAAUCAUUCUUGUUUGAAGUUCUGAUUGAUUCAUUAUACAUCCGACCGUUCAUGUGAUUAACCAAAA